rnacentral:rRNA from 1 species
ACUCAAAGGAAUUGACGGGGGCCCGCACAAGCGGUGGAGUAUGUGGUUUAAUUCGAUGCAACGCGAAGAACCUUACCUACCCUUGACAUCCUGUGAAUCUGCCAGAGAUGGUGGAGAGCCGAAAGGAGCACAGAGACAGGUGCUGCAUGGCUGUCGUCAGCUCGUGUCGUGAGAUGUUGGGUUAAGUCCCGUAACGAGCGCAACCCCCAUGCUUAAUUGCUAAUUCGAGAGGAUGCACUUUAAGCAAACUGCUUGUGAUAAGCGAGAGGAAGGUGGGGAUGAUGUCAAGUCAUCAUGGCCUUUAUGGGUAGGGCUACACACGUGCUACAAUGGUGGGGACAGAGGGAAGCAAACCUGGAAGGGGAAGCGAAUCUCACAAACCUCAUCCAAGUCCGGAUUGGAGUCUGCAACUCGACUCCAUGAAGACGGAAUCGCUAGUAAUCGCGGAUCAGCAAGCUGCGGUGAAUACGUUCUCGGGCCUUGUACACACCGCCCGU